UACAAGCUAAUACCGCAUGCCGCCGUACGGGGAAGGCGGGGACCGUUCGGGCCUCGCACUUAUUGGAUGAGCCUAUGUCAGAUUAGCUUGUUGGUGGGGUAACGGCCUACCAAGGCGACGAUCUGUAGCUGGUCUGAGAGGACGAUCAGCCACACUGGGACUGAGACACGGCCCAGACUCCUACGGGAGGCAGCAGUGGGGAAUAUUGCACAAUGGGCGAAAGCCUGAUGCAGCAAUGCCGCGUGUGUGAAGAAGGCCUGCGGGUUGUAAAGCACUUUCAGUAGGGAGGAAACAGUAGCCGGUUAAUAUCCGGUUGCCUUGACGUUACCUACAGAAGAAGCACCGGCUAACUCUGUG
rnacentral:rRNA from 1 species